UGCGCAGGUGGGCUUGUAAGUCAGUGGUGAAAUACUGCCGCUUAACGGUAGAACUGCCAUUGAUACUGCAAGUCUUGAGUAUGGUUGAGGUAGGCGGAAUGUGUUGUGUAGCGGUGAAAUGCAUAGAUAUGACACAGAACUCCAAUUGCGAAGGCAGCUUACUAAGCCAUUACUGACGCUGAGGCACGAAAGCGUGGGGAGCGAACAGGAUUAGAUACCCUGGUAGUCC
rnacentral:rRNA from 1 species